rnacentral:tRNA from 1 species
GGCGCUGUAGCUCAACUGAAUAGAGCAUCUGACUACGGAUCAGAAGGUUACGGGUUUGAAUCCCUUCAGCGUCA